rnacentral:rRNA from 1 species
GCUCGAAAGAGAACCAGUACACAGGUGCUGCAUGGCUGUCGUCAGCUCGUGUCGUGAGAUGUGGUUAAGUCCCGCAACGAGCGCAACCCUUGUCAUUAGUUGCUACGAAAGGGCACUCUAAUGAGACUGCCGGUGACAAACCGGAGGAAGGUGGGGAUGACGUCAAGUCCUCAUGGCCCUUAUGGUAGGGCUUCACACGUCAUACAAUGGUACAUACAGAGGGCCGCCAACCCGCGAGGGGAGCUAAUCCCAGAAAGUGUAUCGUAGUCCGGAUUGUAGUCUGCAACUCGACUGCAUGAAGUUGGAAUCGCUAGUAAUCGCGGAUCAGCAUGUCGCGGUGAAUACGUUCCCGGGUCUU